GCACAGCGUCUCCCAUCCAGAAUCUGAAGACAACAGUCAGAAAUCCAUCUGUAAUGAGCUCAAAUGACCCUCACAGCCGUCCUGUUUGGGAGUCUCCUCUUGUGGUGUGUGGGGUCGUGCUGCUGGUCAUGACUGCAUUUUUGGCACUUUGGAAGUUAAGGCAACUGUGUA